UACGUAGGUGGCAAGCGUUGUCCGGAUUUACUGGGCGUAAAGAGCGCGCAGGCGGCUGGGCAAGUCCGAUGUGAAAGCUUCCGGCUUAACUGGAAAAUUGCAUCGGAAACUGCUCGGCUUGAAGGUGGGAGAGGGUAGCGGAAUUCCCGGUGUAGUGGUGAAAUGCGUAGAGAUCCGGAGGAACCCCAGAGGCGAAGGCGGCGUCCUGGCUCGCAUCUGACGCUCAGACACGACAGCAUGGGGAGCGAACGGG
rnacentral:rRNA from 1 species